rfam:Desulfobacteraceae bacterium 4572_89 ex4572_89_scaffold_682, whole genome shotgun sequence.
UAGGGCGACAGUAAAAUAUCCGACGUCCAGACUGGCCAUGAAAAGACACUUACCGGACUUAUUCCCGCAUUGGCAGGCGCCAAUAUGAUUUAUGGGGCCG